AAACAUAACCUUUAGCCAAACAAGUAUUAAAGGCAACGCCUGCCCAGUGAAAAUUAAACGGCCGCGGUAACCUAACCGUGCAAAGGUAGCAUAAUCAUUUGUCUAUUAAUUGUAGACCUGUAUGAAAGGCAAAAUGAGAGCCCAACUGUCUCCUAUAACAAAUCAAUUAAACUGAUCUACUAGUACAAAAGCUAGAAUACCAACAUAAGACCAGAAGACCCUGUGAAGCUUUAACUAACCUAUUAAACCCAAUAAUAGCUACUUUCGGUUGGGGCGACCUUGGAAUAAAAAAGAACUUCCAACAUAUGACUAAUCAUAAAACAAGGAAAACAAACCACACCAGACCCAGUAUAACUGAUAAUUGAAAUAAGUUACUCCAGGGAUAACAGCGCCAUCUUCUUUAAGAGCCCAUAUCAAAAAGAAGGUUUACGACCUCGAUGUUGGAUCAGGACAUCCCAGUAAUGCAACCGUUACUAAAGGUUCGUUUGUUCAACGAUUAACAGUCCCACGUGA
rnacentral:rRNA from 1 species